rnacentral:rRNA from 1 species
UAUCAAUAAGCGGAGGAAAAGAAACCAACAGGGAUUGCCUUAGUAACUGCGAGUGAAGCGGCAAGAGCUCAAAUUUGAAAUCUGGCACCUUCGGUGUCCGAGUUGUAAUUUGUAGAAGCAUCUUUUGGAUUGGUCCUUACAUAUGUUCCUUGGAACAGGACAUCAUAGAGGGUGAGAAUCCCGUUCAUGGUGGGGAAUCCAAUUCUUUGUAAAGUGCUUUCUAAGAGUCGAGUUGUUUGGGAAUGCAGCUCUAAGUGGGUGGUAAAUUCCAUCUAAAGCUAAAUAUUGGCGAGAGACCGAUAGCGAACAAGUACAGUGAUGGAAAGAUGAAAAGAACUCCGAAAGGAGAGUGAAAAAGGACGUGAAAUUGUUGAAAGGGAAGUGCUUGAGAUCAGUCUUAAGGUUUAGUGAUCAGUCUUCCUUUUGGUUGGUGCACUCACUAUUUCUUAGGCCAACAUCAGUUUGGGCGGCAGGAUAAUGACAUUGGAAUGUGGCUCUUUCGGGAGUGUUAUAGCCUUUGUUGAUACUGCCUGCCUAGACUGAGGACUGCGCUUCGGCUAGGAUGUUGGCAUAAUGAUCUUAAGCAGCCCGUCUUGAAACA